UGGGGAAUAUUGGACAAUGGGCGAAAGCCUGAUCCAGCCAUGCCGCGUGUGUGAAGAAGGUCUUCGGAUUGUAAAGCACUUUAAGUUGGGAGGAAGGGCAUUAACCUAAUACGUUAGUGUUUUGACGUUACCGACAGAAUAAGCACCGGCUAACUCUGUGCCAGCAGCCGCGGUAAUACAGAGGGUGCAAGCGUUAAUCGGAAUUACUGGGCGUAAAGCGCGCGUAGGUGGUUGGUUAAGUUGGAUGUGAAAUCCCCGGGCUCAACCUGGGAACUGCAUUCAAAACUGACUGACUAGAGUAUGGUAGAGGGUGGUGGAAUUUCCUGUGUAGCGGUGAAAUGCGUAGAUAUAGGAAGGAACACCAGUGGCGAAGGCGACCACCUGGACUAAUACUGACACUGAAGUGCGAAAGCGUGGGGAGCAAACA
rnacentral:rRNA from 1 species